rnacentral:lncRNA from 1 species
GCUUUUUAAAUUAUUUUCAAAUGGUCCCGUUUUUGCCGCGAUACCUUCAACCAAUCAGAGCACUCGUCAUGAUUUGACGAACGACGAAUCAGAUUUCCUGCUAGGCAACAUCGACGAAUGAAAUCCACCUUGUUUUGAAAUCUUUGGUCGUCGUAGAAGCGAAACUGGGAUAGGGAAGUUGAAGCGAAGAAGAAGAAUAUUUAGUACAGUACUGUUUACAUUGGACAAAUGCGUGCCCGUGCGAUCAGGGUUGCCGGUUCGGUUUGAAAUUUAGAACUCCCGCCGUGUUCACUUCAAGAACGCACAACGUGGCAUCAUAGUAAGCAAGUACGGGGUUUGCUUCAGCGCGUUCUUACGGGAGUUUCGCUUCUGAUUGCGAAGCAUCAUUAUUCUAUGACACUACUCACAGCGUAAUCUGUAAUCUUUGGUGGUAAUGUUUUUGUUAUCAUCGUAAAUUCAAAAGCGCGCCCAAAGUUCGUUACAGCGUCCGCGGAUUAUGGUUUCCUUUUUCUCAUGUAAAAAUUUGCGAUAACAUUCCCUCUCGUGUGUUUUCCUCCAAAUCUAAAUCAUUCGUUUCAGUUAAUUUUGGAGCUCACCUUUGCACCUAUAAUGAAGACUACCAACAAAGCUGAGCAAUCUACAUCAACGGCCAAGAAAGCCCCAGUGAAAGGUUUUCGGAAACUGCUUCAACCUUUGCAAGUGUCUGCAACAGACAAAGAAAAUUUGGUUGGUGCAGGUCGAUCUGCUCCCUUUAAGGACGUUCUGGAAAAGCCUGGCUCUAAACAGAAGGAAACCAGAGAGAUUGAAAAGCCUGUCAAAACAACUAUUACAUUUGAUAAACCAUCAAAUCUGCUAUCACAAUUGAAGAUUUGACCUCAGGUAAAGUCUUAAACGUUGAUGAUACAUUAUUACAAGAGCAAUAAGAGGUAGUCUGUUUUGACGUAUUGAUAUCUAUCAGGAUUGUUCGCCAAAAAGCUACUUCUGAAUGUCGGGAAAAACUUGAAGGCUCCUUACAAUAUAUUGAAAAGCUCUCUUGAAAAAGUUAUUUUUAAAAGCUAUAGGAAAUCACUGAUUAGUUUUUUUUUUUUUUUUUUUUUUUUUUUUUUUUUUUAGAAUUAAUUGCCUCCAAUAAACUUUCCAACAUUGAAUUAGCUUCACCAACCAUUUUUCCAAGAAAAUCGUCUGGAUGUCUUUUCACGAAAUUUCAAGUCUGAUCUCCUGUGAAAGUGUGAAAUACAGUAAUUGAGGCACUGGAUGUGAAAAGGGCACUUCUUGGUUGCAGUGAUUCAGAGUCCCUCUAAUAUUUCAUUCGUUGUAAGGAGAGUGAAUGCAUCCAUUUCAGCAAAAAAUUUUACUGAAUAUUUCUUAUGAUUCUACAAUUUUCUAUGGAAAGAAUUCUGGAAACAGCACCCAUUAAAGUCGUCUCCAAGGGAUUAAUUAGCAACAGAGAUUCUGAAACCACGCAAUCGAGAAGUGCCCUCUUUGCGUCCAGAGCCUCAAUUGAUGAUAUUCCUCUAGGGAAAAUGCAAUGAAAUUCGUUCAGUACAUGCUUUGACUCCAGCAGACUUCAGUUUCAUGCUGUGGGAGAAGUUUAAAUCAAUGAACGAAAAGCUCACUUACCUUUGAGUUUCUUAGCCUAUUUAUUAAACUCCCAAAUUCAUCAUGUAUCGAAGUAGAGAAAUACAAGAUAUGGACUACUUUCUAUGAUUUGGAACUUUUUAAAGCCUUUUCAAAUUUCUGCAAAAUUUUUGCCGGAGUCUAUUUUCUGAAAAUUUCUGCCAAAAUGUGCUUCUAGUUUUUUUUUGCCAAAUUUCACCAUUAGGUAGCUUCGAAAAAGAGAGUCAUCACUCUUUUGUAAAUAUCUUCUAAUGCUUAUUAGCCUUACACAUGCCACAUAGAUGCAGUAGGAUUUGCGUCUCAUGUCCAGAUUACAAUUUUGAGUUUUUUAAGUUUCUGAAGUUUCCGCACCCUUGACAGGAGGUUGGAUGAAACUAGCCCUUAAAAAAUAAAGAGAAUGUAUAAAUGACACAGAAUCUUAGAAGUGUUUCUGAAUAUCUGUAUGAGUCUUAUCCAUCUGUAUUUUCAGAUACUCCCAGUGCAAACUACUGGGAACUAAAGUGCAAGCAGCUCACCAAAUCUUUGGAAGAAACACUGACUGAAAACAGAGUCCUGCACGAACGGAUCAAACUUUAGAGGAAGAAAUGAGUUGUGCAAGCAACAGUUGUACGAAACUGCUGAAUCGUCACUUGCCUAACU